rnacentral:lncRNA from 1 species
UGUCAGAGUCCCCUUUGCCACAGACAGGCACUGUGAGGAGUUCCUGUGUGUGUUUUGCUCACAAACCAGGACAGGAGCUCUUCCACUGGGCAGUGGUUUUAGCCUCUAAGUCUGGAAGACACAGACAAGUGUCCUGAGUCUGUGACCCUGCCAGCUCUGACCUCAGCUCAGUGGAUAACGGAACCGAGCAAUGAAAAAUAAAGCUAAAACUGAAAAUACAGGGAUCUCAUUAGUAAAGCAACGAAAAUAAACUGAGCCUGAAUACUUCUUGACUAAGCAAAACCAAGGCCAAAGCUGGAGCUCUAAGUGGGUCAUUUCUUCCAAAGGCUUCUUUUAGAGGAAAGCGAAACUGAACCUGGCCCUUCUCACCCUCUGGGUAAACACAGAACAAAGCCUGCCUCGGAGACAGGAAUGUAGUUUCUUGGGUCCACCAAUCGCCAGGCUUCUACAUCCUGCUUUCUCUUUUGCCCCAUAAAUACUGGCCAGCUGUGGACAACUUUCCAGUGGACAUCCCACCUCUGCUGGGUAGGUUUUCCACAAUUCACAAGUUGCUUUUUUCUCACAGGAGCUCCACAUUUCCUUUGCGGUGAUAUACUGCCCACAGGCAGGCUGAUCUCUUUAACAACAGACAAAGCCCUGAAGGAGACCAGGGAACUCCUGCACCUCGGGCUGCUGCCUCAGGAUGAAUGCAGGUCUUGUGAUGUCUGCUCCCAAAGUCCUGGUGGGAGGUGCAGCUUUUGCCCUAGUUGUGCUCUAUAAAGGGAUAAUUUCUGCUUCCGGAGCCGGAGCUAACACUGUGAGUAUGGAAGUCCUGGGUGGGCAGUAAGAUGUCCCCAGAGGGGGCGUCCGGUCUCGUCCUCAUG